ensembl:lncRNA
AGGUAAAACAUGUUGUAUUGAUUUAAAAGGAGGAUUCAAAGUGGAGUUCUGUAGGUAAUAGGACUCUUUCUGUAGGUUAGGAUAGGACUCAUUCUGUAGGUAAUAGGACUCGUUCUGUAGGUUAGGAUAGGACUCAUUCUGUAGGUAAUAGGACUCGUUCUGUAGGUUAGGAUAGGACUAGUUCUGUAGAUAAUAGGACUUGUUCUGUAGUUUAGGAUAGGACUCGUUCUGUAGGUAAUAGGACUAGUUCUGUAGGUAAUAGAACUCGUUCUGUAGGUAAUAGGAUUCGUUCUGUAGGUAAUAGGACUCGUUCUGUAGGUUAGGAUAGGACUUGUUCUGUAGGUAAUAGGAUUCGUUCUAUAGGUAAUAGGACUUUUCAAAUGGUGCACAGACGAUAUUGCGAUAUUGUCAAAACGAUACGAUAUAUCGUCAAAAAUAUCCUGAUAUGUAACCAUAUACACCCCC